GACCGCAUAGCUCAGUUGGCAGAGCAUUGGGCUAGUAUUCCAAAGGUCGUAGGUUCGAUUCCCGCCGUGGCCA
rnacentral:tRNA from 1 species